rnacentral:rRNA from 1 species
UACAGAGGGUGCAAGCGUUAAUCGGAAUUACUGGGCGUAAAGAGUGCGUAGGUGGUUAGGUAAGUUAGAUGUGAAAUCCCUGGGCUCAACCUAGGAACUGCGUUUAAAACUGCUUAGCUAGAGUAUUGUAGAGGAUAGUGGAAUUUCCAGUGUAGCGGUGAAAUGCGUAGAUAUCGUAAGGAAGACCAGUGGCGAAGGCGAGUCCCUGGACAGCAACUGACGCUGAGGCACGAAGGCCAGGGGAGCAAACGGG